CUUUCUUGAAUGAAACUAGUUUCUUUUGACAUUAUUUUUUUUUAAUGUCAAAUUUUUUUAUUGUAAACAAUAAAAAAUUCAAAAUGAAGGAUAUCUUUCAUACAGAUAUUUCCUAAUAACCCAUGACAAAUAGUGAUUUUAAGCUAUCUACUCUUGUUUUAAGAAUUGGAUCUUUCUGCUCACCUUGGGACCAUCGUCACCAUGAAGACAGAGAUUCCAGUCUUGUCCAGCUUCUCUUGAACUUGGUGUGGAAAGGAUCACUGGCCUGAAAUAUAUCUCUUUGAUAGUGGAACUGUUAGCAGUCUUCUCAGUGACUAUAGAACACAGUGAUGUGCAUGUGUGUAAAUAUCUUGAGAUCAUCCUAAUGUACUUUACUAUCGCAUGAGAUGCAGCAUCAAAGGAAGUUGGAUUAAACAUACCCUGUUAUCUUGCUCUUUCUUUUGCAACUCAAAUCCAUGUCGGAGCAUAGCAUACAGCAGCUUCAGGUGAGAAGAAUUUAUGAAUGUGAACUUACUUAAAUGGAAUAAAAUAUAACCUAUGCAUAUAAUAAUUUAAUAA
rnacentral:lncRNA from 12 species